rnacentral:misc_RNA from 1 species
GAUGAAGAACGCAGCGAAAUGCGAUAAGUAAUGUGAAUUGCAGAAUUCAGUGAAUCAUCGAAUCCUUGAACGCACAUUGCGCCCGCCAGUAUUCUGGCGGGCAUGCCUGUUCGAGCGUCAUUACAACCCUCAGGCCCCCGGGCCUGGCGUUGGGGAUCGGCAGAAGCCCCCUGUGGGCACACGCCGUCCCUCAAAUACAGUGGCGGUCCCGCCGCAGCUUCCAUUGCGUAGUAGCUAACACCUCGCAACUGGAGAGCGGCGCGGCCAUGCCGUAAAACACCCAACUUCUGAAUGUUGACCUCGAAUCAGGUAGGAAUACCCGCUGAACUUAAGCAUAUCAAUAAGCGGAGGA